AUGCUGCCCGGUGCGCGCAUCGGCUCCGGCGUGCUGUCCCUGCCCUGGUCAGUGGCGCAGCUCGGCUUGGUCGCCGGGCCUGCCACACUCGUCGUCUUCGCCGGCGUCAUGUACUACACCUCCGUGCUCCUCACCGACAGCUACCACAGCGAUGGCGCCGUAGCCGGGAAGAGGAACUACACCUACAUCAAGGCCGUCGAGUCCUACACCAUCACGGCGAAGAGGAUCUCCAAGUGGCGAAGUGUGGUUCUGCGGCCUCUGCCAGCCAACUGCUUCCACAACAGCGGCCACUCCGUCGACUGCGGCGUGUACACCACCAUGUACAUGGUCCUCUUCGCGAUCUCCAAGGUCGUCUUCUCCCAGCUCCCCAACCUCCAUGAGAUGGCGUGGCUGUCCAUCCUGGCCGCGGUCAUGUCCAUCUCCUACUCUACGAUCGGCGUUGGCCUCUCCUUGGCACAGACCAUAUCAGGUCCUAUCAGCAAGACGACCAUGGGUGGCACUGUCAUUGGGGCGUCUCCGGCCGAGAACAAGACGAUGAGGAAGGCGAACCUCAUGGGGGUCUCCACCACCACAGCCUUCUACUUGCUCUGCAGCUGCCUUGGCUACGCCACCUUUGGCAACAUGCUCACCAGGUUCGGCUUCUCUGAGCCCUUCUGGCUCAUCGACUUCGCCAACAUCUGCAUCGUCGUGCACCUCGCCGGCAUCUACCAGGUUUACUGCAAGCAGAUCUACGCCACCGUGGAGAGCUGGGCCGUGGCACGGUGUCCGGGCUUGGACUUCAUCGUCCGCCAGAACCAUCCCUUUGGCGCCCACAAGUUCGGCGUCAGCAAGUUCAGGCUGGUAUGGAGGACAGUGUUCGUCGUCGUGAGCACGGUCCUCGCCAUCUUGCUGCCCUUCUUCAACGACAUCCUUGGCCUCCUCGGCGCGCUCGGGUUCUGGCCGCUCACCGUGUACUUCCCUGUGGAGAUGCACAUCCGGCAACGCAAAGUGAAAAGGUCCUCCUGGAAGUGGGUGGCGCUACAAGGCCUGAGCUUCAUGUGUUUCGCGGUAACGGUGGGCGUGACUCUGGCGUCGGUGCAGGGGAUCACCCAAUCGCUCAAAAGCUAUGUGCUGUUCAAGACCAAGUUGUGA
rnacentral:rRNA from 1 species